rnacentral:rRNA from 1 species
AUUGAACGCUGGCGGCAUGCCUUACACAUGCCAGUCGAACGGUAACAGGUCUUCGGAUGCUGACGAGUGGCGAACGGGUGAGUAAUACAUCGGAACGUGCCCAGACGUGGGGGAUAACGAGGCGAAAGCUUUGCUAAUACCGCAUACGAUCUAAGGAUGAAAGCAGGGGACCGCAAGGCCUUGCGCGUUUGGAGCGGCCGAUGGCAGAUUAGGUAGUUGGUGGGAUAAAAGCUUACCAAGCCGACGAUCUGUAGCUGGUCUGAGAGGACGACCAGCCACACUGGGACUGAGACACGGCCCAGACUCCUACGGGAGGCAGCAGUGGGGAAUUUUGGACAAUGGGCGAAAGCCUGAUCCAGCAAUGCCGCGUGCAGGAUGAAGGCCUUCGGGUUGUAAACUGCCUUUGUACGGAACGAAAAGGCUCUGGCUAAUACCUGGGGCACAUGACGGUACCGUAAGAAUAAGCACCGGCUAACUACGUG